rnacentral:rRNA from 1 species
GACGAACGCUGGCGGCGUGCUUAACACAUGCAAGUCGAACGGUGAUGGGUGGAGCUUGCUCUGCUUUGAUCAGUGGCGAACGGGUGAGUAACACGUGAGUAACCUGCCCCAGACUCUGGAAUAACCCCGGGAAACCGGUGCUAAUACCGGAUAUGACACAGAAUCGCAUGGUUUCUGUGUGGAAAGUUUUUCGGUUUGGGAUGGACUCGCGGCCUAUCAGCUUGUUGGUGAGGUAAUGGCUCACCAAGGCGACGACGGGUAGCCGGCCUGAGAGGGCGACCGGCCACACUGGGACUGAGACACGGCCCAGACUCCUACGGGAGGCAGCAGUGGGGAAUAUUGCACAAUGGGCGCAAGCCUGAUGCAGCGACGCCGCGUGAGGGAUGAAGGCCUUCGGGUUGUAAACCUCUUUCAGCUCUGAAGAAGCGAAAGUGACGGUAGGAGCAGAAGAAGCACCGGCUAACUACGUGCCAGCCGCCGCCGUAAAAC